UACGUAGGGUGCAGGCGUUAAUCGGAAUUACUGGGCGUAAAGCGUGCGCAGGCGGUCUUUUAAGUCAGAUGUGAAAUCCCCGGGCUUAACCUGGGAACUGCGUUUGUGACUGCACGGCUAGAGUGUGUCAGAGGGGGGGUAGAAUUCCACGUGUAGCAGUGAAAUGCGUAGAGAUGUGGAGGAAUACCGAUGGCGAAGGCAGCCCCCUGGGAUAACACUGACGCUCAUGCACGAAAGCGUGGGGAGCAAACAGG
rnacentral:rRNA from 1 species